CCUACGGGGGGCUGCAGUCGAGAAUCAUUCACAAUGGGGGAAACCCUGAUGGUGCGACGCCGCGUGGGGGAAUGAAGGUCUGCGGAUUGUAAACCCCUGUCAUGUGGGAGCAAAUUAAAAAGAUAGUACCACAAGAGGAAGAGACGGCUAACUCUGUGCCAGCAGCCGCGGGAAUACAGAGGUCUCAAGCGUUGUUCGGAAUCACUGGGCGUAAAGCGUGCGUAGGCUGUUUCGUAAGUCGUGUGUGAAAGGCGCGGGCUCAACCCGCGGACGGCACAUGAUACUGCGAGACUAGAGUAAUGGAGGGGGAACCGGAAUUCUCGGUGUAGCAGUGAAAUGCGUAGAUAUCGAGCGGAACACUCGUGGCGAAGGCGGGUUCCUGGACAUUACCUGCCGCUGAGGCACGAAGGCCAGGGGAGCGAAAGGGAUUAGAUACCCCUGUAGUC
rnacentral:rRNA from 1 species